rnacentral:rRNA from 1 species
GCACAAUGGAGGAAACUCUGAUGCAGCAACGCCGCGUGGAGGAUGACACAUUUCGGUGCGUAAACUCCUUUUAUAUAGGAAGAUAAUGACGGUACUAUAUGAAUAAGCGCCGGCUAACUCCGUGCCAGCAGCCGCGGUAAUACGGAGGGCGCAAGCGUUACUCGGAAUCACUGGGCGUAAAGAGCGUGUAGGCGGAUAGAUAAGUCAGAAGUGAAAUCCUAUGGCUCAACCAUAGAACUGCUUUUGAAACUGUUUAUCUAGAGUGUGGGAGAGGUAGAUGGAAUUUCUGGUGUAGGGGUAAAAUCCGUAGAGAUCAGAAGGAAUACCGAUUGCGAAGGCGAUCUACUGGAACAUAACUGACGCUGAGACGCGAAAGCGUGGGGAGCAAACAGGAUUAGAUACCCUGGUAGUCCACGCCCUAACCGAUGUUCUCUAGUUGUUGUGAGGCUUGACCUUGC